ACCAAGGAGUCAUAUCACUGCAGGAAUGUAGAGCAGUAGCUUUCAACCUAACUUGGAGCCUCAAAAUUAAGCACCAACCAAGAGAGUAAAGGCUCCACACCCAGCAUGGAGCCCAAAUUGGGCCUCAAACUCAUGACUCUGAGAUCAAGACCUGAGCUGAGAUCAAGGUGCAGCCACUGCCAUGGGAAGGCUCAUAGUCAAUGAGAGAGCACUAGGAGAAAAAGGUCCAGUCAACAGUCAUCACCAACCAGCAAAUACGAGCAAAGCCACCACCUUAUCAUCCACAGUCCAAAUGGCCACAUCCACAUUACUGACCCAAGACAAGACAGCAGAAAAAACCACCUACCCUGAGUUCAAGCCAAAUUGCUAACCCACAAAAUCAUUUUGGAAUGAAUGGCUUAGUACAUAGCAACAGAUAACUGGUCAAUCUUUCUCACUUUCAGAAAGCAAAAGCCAAUUACCAAUUUAACAGCAAAUUUCCAUCUUAACUUUCACAGCCACCACU